UUUAGCUAAGUGUACAAGCCCCUGACUUGCAUUGCAUAGUUUGGAGCUCGUUUGUGGCCUAAGAGUGGCAUUUUCUGGUUCUUUACUUCAUGGCUUAAUCUUUAAGUGAGCAUGUGAUCUGCAUGUGCUUAUCUUAAGUGUAGCCAUGUGAUUAAGAUUAAAGGGUGGCUAUUGAGUCUUGCUAGGGUAAGGAUUAGAGUGACUUUCAAGGAAAGUAUAUAUAUUGUAGCCAUAAGAGGUAAACAAGAAGAGUAGGAGGAGGGAAGUAGAGAGAAAGAGAAAUGGUUUUUAGAGAGAGGUGCUCUAUGGAGUUGGGGGAAUCUUGAAAAGCCUAAGGCUUUGGGUUUAAGCUUGGAGGAGUCACCAAUUUCCUAAGGAUUCGUAGGCAACAUUGAUAUCUACAAAAGUGCUAGCCUACAAGGCUGACUCUGCCUCGAUGCUAGCCAAUCAGACCAUAUUAACCCCGAUGCUAGCCCUCAAGCUGCAUUAGCACCUGUAGGAGUGCUAAUCUCCAAGGUUGCCUCUGUCCCGAUGCUGGCCAAUCAGGCCGUAUAAACCUUGAUGCCACCCCCAAAGUUGCAAUGGCACCUAUAGGAGUGCUGGGCUCCAAGACCACUUCUGCCCCAAAACUGGCUCCACAGGCCGUAUCUGCCAUGAUGGUGACCCCAUAGGUUCCAUCCAUCCAGUUGCAGGAACUUCAGAUCUUAUUGACACCUAUAGAAGUUCUGGCCUCUAAGGCUGCCUCUGCCCCAAUGCUGGUCUAUCAGGUCGUAUCAACUCCGAGGCUAGCCCUCCAAGCUGCAUACAUCUAGCUAUAAAAACCUAGGCCGCAUCGACACCUACAGGAAUGCUAGCCUCCAAGGACGCUUCUGCCCUGAAAUAGGCUUUCCAAGCUAGUUCCAUUCUGAUGCAGGCCACUCAAGUUGUAUCAACACCUAUUGGAAUGCCGGCCUUUAAGGUUGCAUCCAUCCCGGCAGCACCUUCGGUCAUAUCUAACAUGGUGCUAGCCGCUCGAGCCGUAUCCAAAAUGAUAAUGACUCCACGGACUACAUCUACUAGAGUGUAGGCCUUUAUGAUCGCGCCAAUAAUGAUGAAACAAGUUGAAGGCAUAGAAAAGAAGAAACAACCAUAUAUUCCUCCACCAACAAGAAAUGGAAUUCAGGCUGGGGGACAAUUGUUUAUAGACCAAGGCCGUAACUAAAAGUAUUGUCGAUAUGGAGUCCCUUUGUCAUAUCAGGCCAGUACCAACAAUCUUAGGUGUAGGAAUGGACAUUAUAACCUUCAGAACAACCAAAGUUUGGACAGCCAAAGAUCAGGAAUAAUAUGAAUAAAGGCUUGAGCAUGGAUUUAGGAGCUGUUGAGAAAGUCAUUUUAAAGAUGAGUGGUUGUACGACUAUAAUGCAAGAUCCAAAAGGGUUAUGGUCUGAAUAGAAAACCAAAUGCCAUAGAUUAAGACAAUGAAGACCAACAUGAUCAUGCUGAUGACUAUCAUAGGGUACUAGUACGGAGAGCUAAGAUCCAAAAAUUGAAAAAUUAUAUGUUUCAUCAAAUUAUUCUAAUUUAAUGAAACAUGGGGAGGCAAUGUUUGUAUCAAUAUUUUCGGUCUAAGAUAAUAAGAAAGUAUAAGGAAAAAUAUCUCACAUAGAUUAGGAGAAACAAAAUCAAUUGGAUUUUAGAACUAUAAGUUUUUCAAUUAUCCCACAUCGAAAAAGUUAGAGAUUUAUGGGUGACUUCUUUUACUACAUAUUGAAGCCUCAUUUGCUCAUUAAAGUA